UACGGAGGAUCCAAGCGUUAUCCGGAUUCACUGGGCUUAAAGGGCGCGUAGGCGGAAUGACAAGUCAGUGGUGAAAACCUGCAGCUUAACUGUAGAACUGCCAUUGAUACUGAUGAUCUUGAGUACAGUUGAGGUGGGCGGAAUGUGUCAUGUAGCGGUGAAAUGCUUAGAUAUGACACAGAACACCGAUUGCGAAGGCAGCUCGCUAAGCUGUAACUGACGCUGAGGCACGAAAGCGUGGGGAUCAAACAGG
rnacentral:rRNA from 1 species